rnacentral:rRNA from 1 species
CAGUAGCCGCGGUAAUACAGAGGGUGCGAGCGUUAAUCGGAUUUACUGGGCGUAAAGCGUGCGUAGGCGGCUUUUUAAGUCGGAUGUGAAAUCCCUGAGCUUAACUUAGGAAUUGCAUUCGAUACUGGGAAGCUAGAGUAUGGGAGAGGAUGGUAGAAUUCCAGGUGUAGCGGUGAAAUGCGUAGAGAUCUGGAGGAAUACCGAUGGCGAAGGCAGCCAUCUGGCCUAAUACUGACGCUGAGGUACGAAAGCAUGGGGAGCAAACAGGUUUAGAUACCCGUGUAGUCCCUGUCUCUUAUAC